rnacentral:rRNA from 1 species
UACGUAGGGUGCGAGCGUUUAAUCGGAAUUACUGGGCGUAAAGCGCGCGUAGGCGGCUUUGCAAGUCGAGUGUGAAAUCCCCCAGGCUUAACCUGGGAACUGCAUUCGAGACUGCAUAGCUAGAGUAUGGGAGAGGGAAGUGGAAUUUCAGGUGUAGCGGUGAAAUGCGUAGAUAUCUGAAGGAACAUCAGUGGCGAAAGCGACUUCCUGGACCAAUACUGACGCUCAUGUGCGAAAAGCGUGGGGAACAAACAGG